rnacentral:rRNA from 1 species
GACGAACGCUGGCGGCGUGCUUAACACAUGCAAGUCGAACGGAAAGGCCCUGCUUUUGUGGUGUUCUCGAGUGGCGAACGGGUGAGUAACACGUGAGUAACCUGCCCUUGACUUUGGGAUAACUUCAGGAAACUGGGGCUAAUACCGGAUAGGAGCUCCUGCUGCAUGGUGGGGGUUGGAAAGUUUCGGCGGUUGGGGAUGGACUCGCGGCUUAUCAGCUUGUUGGUGGGGUAGUGGCUUACCAAGGCUUUGACGGGUAGCCGGCCUGAGAGGGUGACCGGCCACAUUGGGACUGAGAUACGGCCCAGACUCCUACGGGAGGCAGCAGUGGGGAUUAUUGCACAAUGGGCGGAAGCCUGAUGCAGCAACGCCGCGUGCGGGAUGACGGCCUUCGGGUUGUAAACCGCUUUCGCCUGUGACGAAGCGUGAGUGACGGUAAUGGGUAAAGAAGCACCGGCUAACUACGUG